CCCAGACUCCUACGGGAGGCAGCAGUGAGGAAUAUUGGUCAAUGGCCGGAAGGCUGAACCAGCCAAGCCGCGUGAGGGAGGAAGGCGCAGAGCGUCGCAGACCUCUUUUGCCGGGGGACAAAAGGCCGGACUCGUCCGGUCCUGAGGGUACCCGGAGAAAAAGCAUCGGCUAACUACGUGCCAGCAGCCGCGGUAAUACGUAGGGGGCGAGCGUUAUCCGGAUUUACUGGGUGUAAAGGGAGCGUAGACGGCGGCGCAAGUCUGAAGUGAAAGCCCGUGGCUCAACCGCGGAACCGCUUUGGAAACUGCGAGGCUGGAGUGCUGGAGAGGUAAGCGGAAUUCCUGGUGUAGCGGUGAAAUGCGUAGAUAUCAGGAGGAACACCGGUGGCGAAGGCGGCUUACUGGACAGUGACUGACGUUGAGGCUCGAAAGCGUGGGGAGCGAACAGGAUUAGAUACCCGGGUAA
rnacentral:rRNA from 1 species